AUCGCUUCUCGGCCAUUUGGCUAAGAUCAAGUGUAGAAAUUUCCUAUUUUUAAUGUUACAUAGAACUUUCUAAGCUUGUACUUUUA
ensembl:snRNA U2 U2 spliceosomal RNA